AGUUACUAGCUAUGCAAUUUUGCGCAAGUUGCAUAAAGUACGUGCCUUGGUUUUCUCAUCUGUGAACUGGGGUAGUAAUAACAUCUACCUUUUAGGGUUGGACUGAGGAUUAAGCGCUUGGAACAGCGUCUGGCACGAUACUGCUGUUACCCCGUCCUACAGAUGAGCAAACAGAAGCAUGAGGAGGUCCCUGAGCAAGGUCUUCUGUUCCUCAGGGUAUAGGAGGUGUCAGUACCAGUCGAAAACCAGGCUGAAGACCUGUCAUGAGUAAGGUCAUUUCCAAGACCCUCUUCCCCACCUGGAACCAGAUGCUGCUGUUAAAUGACUUGGUGCUUUAUGGAGGCCAGAGGAGUUGAUGGGGUCCCUGCCUUUAGUGGUGGUGGAGGAGCUGUAUGACAACAACGCAGUGGCCUCUCACUGUUGUGGCCUCUCCCGUUGUGGAGCACAGGCUCCGGAUGCGCAGGCUCAGCGGCCAUGACUCACGGGCCUAGCCACUCUGCAGCAUGUGGUAUCCUCCUGGACCCUCCGGGGCACGAACCCGUGUCCCCUGGAUCAGCAGGCAGACUCUGAACCACUGCGCCACCA